UUUCUUCAGCAUGGCUUGUCUAUGUCUAAAUUGAGAGUGCAAGGGUACGAUGGAGCUUCUAACAUGAGAGGGCAAUUUCGUGGGUUGCAAAAGUUAAUACAAGAUGAAAAUCCUUAUGCAUUUUAUAUCCAUUGCGUUGCCCAUCAAUUGCAGUUAGUGGUUGUUGCUGUGGCCAAGUGUUGUUCCUCUGUAACGGAUUUCUUCAACCACAUAACUUUGAUCCUCAACACCGUCAAUUCUUCUUGUAAGAGACAUGAUGGACUAGCCCAACAACAACAUGAAAAUAUUGUAAGCCAAUUGGAGUCAGGAGAGAUUUUUUCAGGAAGAGGAAAAAAAUCAAGCAACGAAUCUUGUUCGAACGGGGAUACACGGUGGGGCACACAUCAUAAAACUUUGUGUCGAUUUCUAACUAUGUGGAAAUCAGUUUUGCAAGUGUUGAGAACAUUCAUG
rnacentral:rRNA from 1 species